rnacentral:lncRNA from 1 species
GCGGGGUGUGGGCGUUACCCAGGAUAGAAUCUUAGUAUAGGCCAGGCAAGUGCACUACCACUGAGCAAGUAGCCAGAGACCUGAGUGUGGCUUGGAAAUUCCUGUCUCUCACUUCUCUCCACCCCCCCUCACUCCUGCCUCUGCUUCUUUGUCUCUCCUUCUCCUCUUUCUCUCUCCCUCCUUCCUUUAUCUCCCCCUCCCUCAUCCCCCGUCCAUCUCCGUCUGUCUGCCUAUUGCAUACACCCACACCCACACACGCACAUAUACGAAAUAAUAUUAAGCACAUUAGCACUGCAAAUGGUUCUUACCGUUGGUUACGUAACCUGGUACAUACAUAGCAUGGUUUCCUGGGACAGAGUGGGCUAGGGUGCUUGUGCUGGGAGAGUGACGGACAUGCACUGUCAAGCUAUAUCUACCACUUACAGCAAAGGAGAAAAAAUACCUGGAGUAAAUUCCAUCAUUUUUUAUAACAUCGGCGCCUGUGAAGAGACAAAAAAUUGAGUGUUAAUACGUCAUUUCCAUUGGUUGCUACUAUUUUAAUGAGCUAUUGAAACAUUUGUUCCUCUUAAGGUACAGCACACGGAGCUCUUUGUGCUCACAGAGAAGCCCAAGGGGAGCCUGUGGGGCUAAACACAUGUGGUGUUCCUUCCAGGGACCCAGAUGGCUGGGAGCGGCAGCGCUCUCUAGCCUGGUGACACUUGUGCUUUCUGAGGGGCUGGAGACCACAACAGAUCCUCCCUCAAGCCUUCAUCAUAAGUGUUUUCCUCAGUCAGUUUACAGAACCUUUUAUUAUGGAAAUAGCACAUUACUUUACAAAGAGUUUUAAUGUAGUCACAUUUGAUCUUUACUUUGUUCCUCUAAGGGAUUUACAAAUGCUCUG